GACGAACGCUGGCGGCGUGCUUAACACAUGCAAGUCGAACGGAAAGGCCCUGCUUUUGUGGGGUGCUCGAGUGGCGAACGGGUGAGUAACACGUGAGUAACCUGCCCUUGACUUUGGGAUAACUUCAGGAAACUGGGGCUAAUACCGGAUAGGAGCUCCUGCUGCAUGGUGGGGGUUGGAAAGUUUCGGCGGUUGGGGAUGGACUCGCGGCUUAUCAGCUUGUUGGUGGGGUAGUGGCUUACCAAGGCUUUGACGGGUAGCCGGCCUGAGAGGGUGACCGGCCACAUUGGGACUGAGAGACGGCCCAGACUCCUACGGGAGGCAGCAGUGGGGAAUAUGGCUCAAUGGGCGGAAGCCUGAUGCAGCAACGCCGCGUGCGGGAUGACGGCCUUCGGGUUGUAAACCGCUUUCGCCUGUGACGAAGCGUGAGUGACGGUAAUGGGUAAAGAAGCACCGGCUAACUACGUG
rnacentral:rRNA from 1 species